rnacentral:tRNA from 1 species
GGAUCCAUAGCUCAGUUGGUAGAGCCGCGCCUUUACACGGCGAAGGUCGGGAGUUCGAGCCUCUCUGGAUCCACCA